GUCUGGUUCCGGGUCAACCCUUAAGCCCAAAAGAAGCAAACAAACGCAACUCGUUCUUUUCCCUAAACAGCCAACCUCGGCUCGAGGCUCGCCGGUGUCACAGCUGCACACUCACUUCUUCCACUGUGAUGGCGCUGUCGACUCUCCAAAAAUUCUUCAAAACUUCAUCGCCUCCAGCAAGAAUCCUUGCUUUCGUUCGCAACCCAUACAUAAACUUACCAAAUCCCUCGACACCCGUAACUCUUUCCUCCCAAACUCAGCAACUUAACAGCACACCUAAUGAAAACCAUAUUGUCAAUGCCAUUCUAUCUUUGGGCUCAUCCAAAGAGGGGAGCUUGACCCAUUUCGAUUGCUUGCCGUUUUCCUCGAUCCAUACAUUUGGGUUCUGUUCACACCCGAUUCUAUCAACUGGGUUGAUCCACGAUUUGCAGAAUGACGAGGAUUCGGGGAUGUGGGCUGAUAGCGUGAAGAAGAAGAGGAAGAAGAAAAUGAACAAGCACAAGUACAAGAAGCUGAGGAAGCGGCUUAGAAGACAGACUUAGAGUUGUUUGUUUUUUAAUUGUUUCUGGUGAGGAUUUUACUAAUAAUGUUACAAUUUGCUUUUGAAGGUUGAAGCACUGUAUUUGACUUGUUUUUUCUUGUGGUAACUGAUAAAUGUCUCUUGAUAGUAUACUCAUUUAUGGCAAGGAUUGGUUAGAAGCUUAAAUGAGCACUUCAAUUGUUAGUCAUUUGGUUUAGAAAACCAUUUUGCAGUUUAAUUUAUCAGAUAUGUUAGAGAUAUUGUAUUAAUUUAAGAUUUUUGCUUUUGGAAGUAUGAUGAAUUAAGAACAAAAAAUGGGACAUUGUUGGACCUGCCUUAAUCAUGAAUGAUUGGAUUUAUGGGUUCCUAGUAAUAUAUUUUCGGAUGGAAUGCAUUCGUGCUUUUGUGUGAUUCAAGUUUUUUGUGAGCUGGAUGUAGGUACAGUGGAAGCUGAAUGUGCUCCUUUACAGACAUAUUAUUCUGCACUGCCACUGCCACAAGUUUUACUUUUUAUUUUCUUUGUACAUAUCUAUCCUUUUAUUGGGAAAUAGGGAAUGCAAAUAUUCUGCCUUUUCUUGUUAAUCGUUGAAGUGUUUAUUUUGUUCAUUGCAUUUUUGGGAUAUUGGUGAACAACAGAAGAGAAAUAUGAUAUUUAUUAUGUACAAUGUGGUAAAUUUCUCAAGGUUCUGUGGAGUGGCAAUAUAGCUCAAGCUUCCGUUUAGACCCAAGUUUCUUGAAAUCAUUCUUUAAU
rnacentral:misc_RNA from 1 species